UUACAUCCCAGCUAAAACCAACAGACAUCAAUUUCAAGAAAGGAAAGUGAAGAACGAAAUGGGAAAUCCUUGUGUUUUGGUUAUACCUUUUCCAGCACAAGGCCAUGUAAUUCCUUUAAUGGAGCUAUCUCAAUGGUUGGUGAAACACGGCAUCAGAAUUACAUUUGUAAACACAGAUGACAAACAUAAGCAUGUUACGGAUGCAUUGGCAAUGAAGGAUGGUGUAGGGAAUCAGAUUCACCUUGUUUCGGUUCCACAAGGACCGGAGUUUCCAGAGAUUUCAGGUCAAUUAACAGAGAAACUUGUUGAAGUAGUCUCAUGUCUUAGGCCAAGAAAAGUUGGAGAGCUGAUUGAAAAGAUUAAUGCAUCAGAUGGUGAUAAGAUCACAUGUAUUCUCUCAGAUCCCAUUCUUAAAUGGGCCAUGGAAAUUGCGGUGGAGAAAAGAAUCAAGCCAGCCGCCUUCUAUUGUGCUUCAGCCACACAAAUGCUCUUAAGAUCUGGCAUCCAAAAGUUGAUUGAUGAUGGAAUUGUUGAUGAAGAUGAUACAGCACCAUAAAAUUAAGGCAUCACACAGGAUUUGGUCAUAAAGCAUGUAAAGACAAGGGAUUGAAUGAUUAUGCCUCAGAUUAUAAUCCAAAGGGUUUAUUGUUAUGUUCUGUGUCUUCUUUGAACUUCCAGCUGAAUCAUAAACAAUGAACUCCAAAGAAAGAGAUGUUUCGGUUGUCACCAACCAUGCCGGUCAUGAAAACAGCACACAUAGCAUCUAUCGGACUUGGCAAGACAAAAAUGUAGAGACUCUUCUUUCAAAAUUCAGUUAGAAACAACCGAUCAUCAGAACUAGCAGAAUGGGUGCUUUGCAAUUCAACUUAUGACCUUGAGCCUGCAACAUUUAAGUUUGAUCCAAAAGUAUUACCUAUAGGCCCACUUUUGGCGAGCAACCGAUUUGGAGAUGCAGCAGGAAGCUUCUAGAAAGAGGACUUAAUUUGUUUGAAAUGGCUUGAUCAACAGCAACCACAGUCGGUCUUAUAUUUUUCCUUUGGCAGUAUAACUAUUUUUGACAAAACCCAGUUCCAAGAAUUAGCUAUGGGACUUCAACUCUCCAACAGACCAUUCCUUUGGGUCGUGCGCCCUGAUAUCACAGAUAAAAUAAAUGAUGCCUAUCCGGAAGUAUUUACAAACAGAGUAGUGAGUCGAGGGCAUAUAGUUAGUUGGGCGCCUCAACAUAAGGUUUUGGCACAUCCUUCCAUUGCUUGCUUCAUAAGCCACUGUGGAUGGAACUCCACCAUUGAAGCUAUAAGCAAUGGUGUCCUGUUCUUGUGUUGGCCUUACUUUACAGACCAGAUGCACAAUGAGAAUUA